AGACUCUGGAAUGUACCUGAGAAAUGAUAUGCAUGCAGAGAUUAGUUUUUUCUUUUUUCUUUUUUUUUUUCAUUUUUUUUUAAUUCUUUUUUAUUGCGUUUCUUUUGAAAAUAAACAUGCUAUGAUGUAGAUGAUGCAGACAAGACUGGCAGGCUGUGCAAUCUCAGAACACAGGAUCGAAGCUUCGGCUCGAACUCGGCACCACCAUUCAUCUGAAACCCAAAGUCAUCUGAGGAACUGUCAUCUGAACCCUCUCUGAGGAACCAAGUCACCAUCUGAGCGAGUACCCACAAAUUCAGCCCAGGGAUCCGAAAUAAA
rnacentral:lncRNA from 1 species